rnacentral:rRNA from 1 species
UCUUUCUAGGAACACUUUCCAGUACCCCUACUUUGUUACGACUUAUUCCAAUUUUUAAAUGAAAGUGACGGGCAAUAUGUACAUAUUUCAAUUUUUAAUCAUUUUAUUAAAUUAAAUAAAAUUACAUUUAAAUCCACUUUCAAAUAAUUAUUACAAAAUUAUUAUUCAUUUAUAUAUUUAUAUUGUAAUCCAUCCUAAAUUUAAUUAUUAUCUACAUCUUGAUCUGAAUUAAUUUUUUAUUUUAAUUUUAAAAUAUUAUUUUUUAUAAAAAAUAUUUUUUUAACAACGAUAUAUAAAAUUUUAAAUUAAAUAUGUAUUAUUCGUGGACUAUCAAUUACUAGACAGAUUCCUCUAAAUGAACUAAAAUACCGCCAAAUUAUUUAAGUUUCAAUAAAUAAUUACAUACUAUUUUAGUUAUAUUUUUUAAUUUUUUU